rnacentral:rRNA from 1 species
GAAACAUCUUAGUACCCGGAGGAAGAGAAAGAAAAUUCGAUUCCCUUAGUAGCGGCGAGCGAAACGGGAAGAGCCCAAACCAACAAGCUUGCUUGUUGGGGUUGUAGGACACUCUAUACGGAGUUACAAAGGACGACAUUAGACGAAUCAUCUGGAAAGAUGAAUCAAAGAAGGUAAUAAUCCUGUAGUCGAAAAUGUUGUCUCUCUUGAGUGGAUCCUGAGUACGACGGAGCACGUGAAAUUCCGUCGGAAUCUGGGAGGACCAUCUCCUAAGGCUAAAUACUCUCUAGUGACCGAUAGUGAACCAGUACCGUGAGGGAAAGGUGAAAAGCACCCCGGAAGGGGAGUGAAAUAGAACCUGAAACCGU